rnacentral:rRNA from 1 species
AUUGAACGCUGGCGGCAGGCUUAACACAUGCAAGUCGAGCGGAGUGAUGGUGCUUGCACUAUCACUUAGCGGCGGACGGGUGAGUAAUGCUUAGGAAUCUGCCUAUUAGUGGGGGACAACAUCUCGAAAGGGAUGCUAAUACCGCAUACGUCCUACGGGAGAAAGCAGGGGAUCACUUGUGACCUUGCGCUAAUAGAUGAGCCUAAGUCGGAUUAGCUAGUUGGUGGGGUAAAGGCCUACCAAGGCGACGAUCUGUAGCGGGUCUGAGAGGAUGAUCCGCCACCCGGGGACUGGGACACGGGCCAGACUCCGACGGGAGGCAGCAGUGGGGAAUAUUGGACAAUGGGGGGAACCCUGAUCCAGCCAUGCCGCGUGUGUGAAGAAGGCCUUAUGGUUGUAAAGCACUUUAAGCGAGGAGGAGGCUCUUUUGGUUAAUACCCAAGAUGAGUGGACGUUACUCGCAAAAUAAGCACCGGCUAACUCUGUGCCAGCAGCCGCCGUAA